UGGUGCCACUGCACUCCAGCCUGGGUGAUAGAGAUCAUUGACCUCUCCCCAGGGCCUGGCUCUCUACCAUCUAAGGUGACUGGCUGUUUGACUGAUCUGCACUCCAGCCUGGGUGAUAGAGAUCAUUGACCUCUCCCCAGGGCCUGGCUCUCUACCAUCUAAGGUGACUGGCUGUUUGACUGAUAAUUCAACCCUAUUUAUAUGGUAGUAGAUGGUAAAUUUACAGCAAUGAUAAUGCACAAAAAGCGAUAGUUCCUAUGACAUUAACACUAAUCCUCACAGCAGCACUGUGAGGUGGGUUGAAUUGUUUCCAUUUCAUUUUAAUUUUUUUUUUACUUUUGAGACAGUGUUGCUCUGUCACGCAGGCCAGAGUGUAGUGGUGCAAUCUCGGCUGACUGCAGCCUCUGCCUCCCAGGUUCAAGAGAUUCUCCUGCCUCAGCCUCCCAAGUAGCUGGGAUUACAGGUGUGCACUACCACACCUGGCUAAUUUUUGUAUUUUAGUAAAAAUGGGGUUUUGCUAUGUUGGGCAGGCUGGUCUUGAACUCCUGACCUCGGUUGAUCUGCCCGCCUUGGCCUCCCAAUGUGCUGGGAUUACAGGCAUAAGCCACUGUGCCUAGCCUGUUUCUGUUUUAAAGGAAUUGCUAAAUACGAAAACAGAAGAGAGGGUUAGAAUGGAGGGGUUGUCUGCUCCCAAAGCCAUACUUGUCUGAAAAUCCCAGUGAGGUUUUACAGCUUGCUAUAAUAACCAAUGCCCCCAAAUGGCUUUGUAGCAGGUGUCUUUGGAAAUAAUAAUCUUAAAUCGUGAUUUCCCAAAUCUGACUAAAGAUAAGAAUUUAUCUGGCUGGGUGUGGGGGUUCAGUCACAUGGCAGACUCAGAUAGAGCUGCCUUUAAAAAUGUCCAGAAAAAUUGUUACAUUAACAGGUACUGAGUCUACCUUUUCAUCCUAUAAUCUCAAUACCAACAGAAAAUAAACCAGCAAGUUGUCAUCUACAAAUGAACAUUUUGUGGGGAGAACAGAACACCUGGUAUGCUGAAUAUGUGGAAACUCUUACGCAUUUCUUUCUAAACUCUUCUGAAAUGAUAGAAAAAUCACGUAACAAAUGAGGCAACGGACUCUUGUGAACUUAUGGUUUCGGCCUGGAAGCCACAGCACAGGAACCACAGGGAGGAAAAAUUGUUCUGGGCUUUUAGAUGCCCAAACGCCUCCAAAGACACCUUCAUACUGGAAAUCAUAAAAGUGAAUUUGGCUCCCUCUUUAAAGCCCAAGGACCAAACUGGAUU
rnacentral:lncRNA from 1 species